GCGGCGUGCUCUAACACAUGCAAGUCUAGGGGAAAGUUUUCUUCGGAGAAUGAGUACACUGGCGCACGGGUGAGUAAUAUAUAAGUAACCUACCUUGUGGAUUGGAAUAACGUAUAGAAAUUUGCGCUAAUACCGAAUGAUGCAGCGGCACCGCAUGGUGAUGUUGUUAAAGUCAUUUAUGGCGCCACAAGAUGGGCUUGUAUUCGAUUAGCUAGUUGGUGGGGUAAUAGCCCACCAAGGCAACGAUCUAUAGCUGGUCUGAGAGGAUGAUCAGCCACACUGGGACUGAGACACGGCCCAGACUCCUACGGGAGGCAGCAGUGAGGAAUCUUGGACAAUGGGCGAAAGCCUGAUCCAGCCAUGCCGCGUGAAUGAUGAAGGCCUUAGGGUUGUGAAAUUCUUUCAGCAGGGAAGAUAAUGACGGUACCUGCAGAAGAAGCCCCGGCUACU
rnacentral:rRNA from 1 species